AUACGUAGGGUGCGAGCGUUGUCCGGAAUUACUGGGCGUAAAGAGCUCGUAGGUGGUUUGUCGCGUCGUCUGUGAAAUUCCGGGGCUUAACUCCGGGCGUGCAGGCGAUACGGGCAUAACUUGAGUACUGUAGGGGAGACUGGAAUUCCUGGUGUAGCGGUGAAAUGCGCAGAUAUCAGGAGGAACACCGGUGGCGAAGGGGGGUCUCUGGGCAGUAACUGACGCUGAGGAGCGAAAGCAUGGGUAGCGAACAGGAUUAGAUACCCUGGUAGUCCAUGCCGUAAACGGUGGGCGCUAGGUGUAGGGGUCUUCCACGACUUCUGUGCCGUAGCUAACGCAUUAAGCGCCCCGCCUGGGGAGUACGGCCGCAAGGCUAAAACUCAAAGGAAUUGACGG
rnacentral:rRNA from 1 species